rnacentral:lncRNA from 1 species
GUUUCUUUUAUUUAUGAUUUAUAUAAAAAACGUUAGAUGUGUCAUCUUUUGUUUUGUUCAUAAAACUCUAAAUUUUUACAACAGUUUGAUAGAAAAAGAAAUUCUGGUGUUACUCUUAUUAGUAGUUCUUGUUCAUGAGUCCAAAGUUUAAGUGAGAAUCUAAUCGAGUGUGUAAGGGGAAACAAUUAUAUAAAAUAUAAAAUAUAAAAUUGUUCUUAAACGGUUUUAUAUCUGAAAACAAUAUAAAAUGAAAAUUCUGUUUUUUUAGCAGUUUUUUUUUUUGGGUGUAAUGUUAAAAUAAUAUACGUUGAGAUGAAUUCUAUAUGAGUAAUCAGUUUUGAUUAUUAUACGUUGUGUAAUCUGGAUAUAUAUCAUGAGAAAAUGACAUAUUUACAACCAAAAAAAAGAACAGACGAUCUUUUGUAGAAAACCUAAUCUCGAUUUUUUUAUUUUUUUUUUAAAACAUCGCUAGUUUUGUUUCGACAAAGGGGAGAAGAAGGUGAGAGGUAUAAGUAUAACCAAACCAAGAUAGAGACUUAGUAAAGAGAGAGAACCAAUCGAGGGUGAAGUGUGGGGAUGUGUUGUUGUCCACGUGCUCGGAAAGAUUCAUCUAAACCCAUGCAUCCUCACAUCUAUAAAAGUUUGGACUUAAAUUUCAAGUAAAUGAUCAUUAACAUGAGAAUCUCUCUCUUUUACUCAUGUAUAGAUCGAGCUUUAA